GCCACUACUAACGUAUUUGCCAAGACAGUAAAUUCAGCUUUUAAGUUAGAGGUUAACGUUUGCGGUAUAUACAUUUUACACAUGGAUCCUGAUACAUUUCAUUUUUAUAAUAUGAAUUUUAAUACACAUGCCCUUGAAAAAAUUUCCGCAUAUUUUUACAUGGCCCACCCUUAUGAUUGCACUUAACUUUCGAUGACCCACCCCUUCAACCGUGCUCAAAAAUAGUGACCCCCCCCCCUAUUUUUCCCAGCCCACCCCACCC